AGACAAGAAACAGAAAAGCAGAAUAUUACAAUUAGAAUACCAUCUUUAUGACAAACUCAUAACAACUCAAACAUCACAAUAAUAUUAAAAAGUCACAGGGUAUCUUUCAGCAGACACGAUCAUGUACCGGCAGAAAAAUAAAACACACAAGGCCUAAAGACAAAUUAAGAAAAUUUCCCCACUGCUGCCGAUUCUCAAAUUCACAAAGAACUUCCCGCGCAUAUUUGAAUUCAAAUUUGGGCUGUCCUGUCACCAGUACACCGCCUUGGCGCCCUGACAGCUUCCUUUGUUUUGUAUCAGUGCGCGCCGACACACAGCUGUUGGGAAACUGAUAAGAUUACUACUUCACUAAUCUGUACCUACCGCGAUACGGUAAAUGCAACCAUACGUAAGGCUGCAGAGGUUGCGUACAAAUCAACAUUACAUUUGAGCUGAGAUUUUAAUAUACCCGAGUCAUAUUUAUUUUUCUUAAUAUCUCAUUUUUAAAUGUUAAAUUUGUAUUUUUUUUUAAGAGCACAAGAUGUUGCUACAGGAUCGUGUAACCACUAAUUACACGCAAAAUUAACAUAAUCCUGGUGUAGCAUUAUAGCAAUAUAUUAUAAAUGUUUAUACAACUCUACAUUUGUGCAUUUACUGAUACGCACUGGUGCACAUAAACAUCAGCAGAUUUCGAUAUUUCAAAGCUAUGGUUGAAAAACUGGCUAAUGAAAUAUAAAAACAGCUUUAAAAUCAACAUACACGAACACGCCUGACUUUUCUGAUUCAAAACAGUGGAGGAGGAGAAAAAAAAAAAAAAAAAAAAAACUCCCCUCCCCCCGCUCUUUCCUCAAAUUUGCAGGUUAUGUUUGAACUUAUUUUGAUAAUUUCAUUUGUUGACCAUCUGUUCAUUUCAAAUCAACAGUUAUGCAUUCGUGUUAAUGUUUUAACUAUGCAUUUGCAGCGUGAAUCGAAAGUUUAUUGUUGCGUUUUAACCUGUCAAGAUUCCCCCCCAAAUGAAGAGGGAAAACACAGACGGUGCCAAGAAUUUAACACAAGCCCAAUGACAACGACUGCACUAAAACCUAAUGCGACACCAGUGGAGACUUAGAAAAAAGCUGCGGCAAAAAAGGGAACCUAAGUAAUGGUCAAACCUGCCGAGAAUGGGAGCUGCAAGACUGAGGUUUGUUUCUUUACGAGAGAGAGAGCUUCCUCUGUAAUUGUUACACAAUAUAUUUUUUCUUAUAAUAUAAAAAUACUCAGUUAUAAUUAAAAGUCCUGAAAUGAAAAUGUUAUUCAAGUAGAACUACAGAAGUCUUAUCAGUAUAUUACUUUAUGUAUCAAAAGUAAAAGUAUUAUUAUACGAUUAUUAUUACUGUUGCAUGUUGAUGUGUACGCAGCAUUUUACUGCUGUAGUUGGUUGACGUUUGUU